AGCUAACAUGCACAGCAAGGAUCCGAAUAGCUAAAGAUCAAGAAAAUAUGCAAUCAAACUAAGUAAUCUCACUAUGAAUAGCUAACAUACCAUAGGUCAAAGGACUAGUCACAUGAUUGUAGUAUUAAGAAAAUUACUGACGAGUGAGUAUAUAUCUAAGUAGUUUCUCGUGUUGGUUAUGCUCAGUACAAGUUAUUCUCUAACAACCACCCAUACUCUCAUCC
rnacentral:lncRNA from 1 species